UACGUAGGGGGCAAGCGUUGUCCGGAUUUAUUGGGCGUAAAGAGCGUGUAGGCGGCCAGGUAGGUCUGCUGUGAAAACUCGAGGCUUAACCUCGAGAUGUCGGCGGAAACCAUCUGGCUAGAGUCCGGAAGAGGAGAAUGGAAUUCCCGGUGUAGCGGUGAAAUGCGCAGAUAUCGGGAAGAACACCCGUGGCGAAGGCGGAUCUCUGGGCCAUUACUGACGCUGAGGAGCGAAAGCGUGGGGAGCGAACAGG
rnacentral:rRNA from 1 species